GCCGAAAUAGCUCAGUUGGGAUAGCGUUAGACUGAAUAUCAAAAGGACCCUGGUUAGAUCCUGGGUUUCGGCA
rfam:Salmo salar isolate Sally breed double haploid chromosome ssa27, whole genome shotgun sequence.